GCGCUGCUGAAGGGAACUGGCAUACCUCGCUGCCUCAAAAGCAGUGGAUUCCCGGUUCGAAUCCGGGGCGGCGCAC
rnacentral:tRNA from 1 species